GAUGAACGCUAGCUACAGGCUUAACACAUGCAAGUCGCGGGGCAGCAUGGGGGUUGCUUGCAACCCCUGAUGGCGACCGGCGCACGGGUGAGUAACGCGUAUCCAACCUGCCCUUCACCACGGGAUAACCCGGCGAAAGUCGGACUAAUACCGUAUGUUGUCCAUUGACGGCAUCCGAUUUGUACGAAAGGCUUGGCGGUGAAUGGAUGGGGAUGCGUCCGAUUAGCUUGACGGCUGGGUAACGGCCCACCGUGGCUACGGUCGGUAGGGGUUCUGAGAGGAAGGUCCCCCACACUGGAACUGCGACACGGUCCAGACUCCUACGGGAGGCAGCAGUGAGGAAUAUUGGUCAAUGGGUGUAAGCCUGAACCAGCCACGUAGCGGGCAGGAUGCCGGCCCUAUGGGUUGUCAACUGCUUUUAAGCGGGGAUAAAGUGGCACACGUGUGGGCUUUUGCAGGUACCGAAUGAAUAAGGACCGGCUAAUUCCGUG
rnacentral:rRNA from 1 species